UUUUUUUUUUUUUUUUUUUUUUUUUUUUUUUUUUUUUUUUUGCUUUAUUCGGUUCGUUUUUUUUUUUCUGUUUUUUUGUCUAUAGCCUUGUUAUUUACCUUUUCCUUUUUGUUAGUAGGUUGUUUUACAGCUUUGUUGUUAUUUUCUUUUGUUUGCGUAACAGUUUUAUUAAUCUUCAUUUUAUCGUUUUUUUUUUCAUUUACUUUUUCAUUUACUUUUUCAUUUACUUUUUCAUUUACUUUUUCAUUUACUUUUGCAUUUUUUUUUUUUUUUUUUUUUUUUUUUUUUUUUUUCACGUACUUCCUCCUCAGUGUUGUCAUCCGAUAAACCAUAAAUGGCAUAGUUCUUGUUUUUAAUUUGUUCUAAUUCUUCUUUAAAAUAAUUGGACUCUGUUCUAUAUUUUUCAGUAUCAUGCUUAGGAUAUAUAAAUAUAAAAAGCCCAUUUAAGUCUUUAUUCUUUUCAAUUUCAUUUUGCAGGUUAGUUAACUCUUGUCGUUCGUCCAGUAAAUCAACACUGAGAACAUCUUCAGUCAAGUUUGUAUCUACUAUAAGAAAAAGGAUUACAAAAGUAAUAAAUAUAAAAAUACUUAUUUAUUACA
rnacentral:lncRNA from 1 species